UGGGGAAUUUUGGACAAUGGGGGAAACCCUGAUCCAGCCAUCCCGCGUGUGCGAUGAAGGCCUUCGGGUUGUAAAGCACUUUUGGCAGGGAAGAAACGGCGCCGGAUAAUACCUGGCGUCACUGACGGUACCUGCAGAAUAAGCACCGGCUAACUACGUGCCAGCAGCCGCGGUAAUACGUAGGGUGCAAGCGUUAAUCGGAAUUACUGGGCGUAAAGCGUGCGCAGGCGGUUUGGAAAGAAAGGUGUGAAAUCCCAGAGCUUAACUUUGGAACUGCACUUUUAACUGCCAAGCUAGAGUAUGUCAGAGGGGGGUAGAAUUCCACGUGUAGCAGUGAAAUGCGUAGAGAUGUGGAGGAAUACCGAUGGCGAAGGCAGCCCCCUGGGAUAAUACUGACGCUCAUGCACGAAAGCGUGGGGAGCAAACA
rnacentral:rRNA from 1 species